UACGUAGGGCGCAAGCGUUGUCCGGAAUUAUUGGGCGUAAAGAGCUCGUAGGCGGCUUGUCACGUCGGAUGUGAAAGCCCGGGGCUUAACCCCGGGUCUGCAUUCGAUACGGGCAGACUAGAGUGUGGUAGGGGAGAUCGGAAUUCCUGGUGUAGCGGUGAAAUGCGCAGAUAUCAGGAGGAACACCGGUGGCGAAGGCGGAUCUCUGGGCCAUUACUGACGCUGAGGAGCGAAAGCGUGGGGAGCGAACAGG
rnacentral:rRNA from 1 species